AAGUAAUAUAAUUCCUAAAAUUGGGGAAAGUAGGGUCAAAAUACCGGAUUCCGAUUCCUCAGCAAAACCCUGUUAUUCUUUUUCCUAAACUUGGGGAUUUUAAAAAAGACGGAAAAAAAGAACGGAAAAAUCCCUCUCUUCUUCUGCUCUAUUUAUUCGCGUCUUCUCCAUGUCAUUCUGCUCAUUUUUCAAUCUGCAACUCUUCAGAAUUUCGUUCCAAUCCUUCAUCAACAAGUGGGUGCAUCUAACAAUUUUGGAAUCAUCCAGUUUUCCAUCUCCAUUUUAGAUGGCUUGUCGCGGCAAGGGAGCUAAUCAUGUAUGGACUAUUGAAGAAGAUGCAAAACUUGUAGAAACAAUUGUUGAGUUGAAGAGAAGUAGGAAUUGGGAUGGUGAAAGUGGAAGUGGGUUAAAAAAAGGUUAUCAAAAGGAGUUGGAGAAGAUAUUGCAAGAAAAAUUGCCAGGCCAUGGUCUUAAAGAAAAACCACAUAUUGAAUCUCGGUGUAAGUUAUUGAAAAAACAAUAUCAUGCUAUCUACGAUGUGCGUACCAAUGGAGAACUAAGUGGAUUUGGCUGGGAUGAUGAAAGAAAAUGUGUUACUGCAAGUGCAGACG